rnacentral:rRNA from 1 species
GAAUAAGCAUGUGGCUUAAUUUGACCCAACGCGGGAAAUCUUACCGGGUCCGGACACACUGAGGAUUGACAGGUUUUAUCGUAUUCCCUCCGGGGAUUACGUGCUAAAAAUGCUAGUCCUUUCAUGAUUAUGUGAUAGGUGGUGCAUGGCCGUUCUUAGUUCGUGGAGUGAUCUGUCUGCUUAAUUGCGUUUCAUUAUGAAUUUACAACUAACGUAUGUUUGCGAGGUAGCGUUGAUCCCUCCCUCUGGGAGCCGUGUGUCUUCCUACCAUCACCGCAUCAUACUCAGUAAAUUCUGAAAGCAACGAACGUGACCG